rnacentral:rRNA from 1 species
GACGAACGCUGGCGGCGUGCUUAACACAUGUAAGUCGAACGGAAAGGCCCUGCUUGCAGGGUCCUCGAGUGGCGAACGGGUGAGUAACACGUGGGUGAUCUGCCCUGCACUUCGGGAUAAGCCUGGGAAACUGGGUCUAAUACCGGAUAGGAGCCAUUUUUAGUGUGAUGGUUGGAAAGUUUUUUCGGUGUAGGAUGAGCUCGCGGCCUAUCAGCUUGUUGGUGGGGUAAUGGCCUACCAAGGCGGCGACGGGUAGCCGGCCUGAGAGGGUGGACGGCCACAUUGGGACUGAGAUACGGCACAGACUCCUACGGGAGGCAGCAGUGGGGAAGAUUGAACAAUGGGCGCAAGCCUGAUGCAGCGACGCCGCGUGGGGGAUGACGGCCUUCGGGUUGUAAACUCCUUUCGCUAGGGACGAAGCUUUUUGUGACGGUACCUAGAGAAGAAGCACCGGCUAACUACGUG